CUUGAAAUAUGUCUAUGUUUUAUGUGACUGAUUUGAAUCAGCGUGGAAAUGACAUGUUUGUGUAUGUUUGGUCCAUCUAUCUUACUGCAUCACAUACCUGAAUAAUAGAAUUAUCCAAAAUUAUUGUUUAUUUGAUAUGGUUUAACAUGUUUUCGGUAUAAGCUGUAUUAUUUUUCAUUUACACCUUUAUUUAGUUUGCUUACACCUUUAUAUGUAACUUUACCUUACAUUUGUGUUAUAGAUUUUUUCUCAAUUUAUUCCAAUCUACGAACUGCUUGUUCUUUGAGGUUUUAAUCAAUACACUUCUCCAUCAUUUUCUUAUAUUUUAACAAUUUUCUAAACGUCUUUUGGCUUUUUUGGUAAUGGAAUAGGCGUAUGUUGAAGGUGAUGUUGCCACACAACACUCAAAGAAGAAGAUGUUUAAGAAGUUCAAUUCACAAAAGCCGGUCUUAGUUCUCUACUAUUGCAUCAUCGAAGAAAAUAUUGUUUCUACAAUCAACCAACAGUGUACCAUACUCUUGUGCCAAUAACUUUCAACUUUUCCAUUUUUUGUACCAACAAAUGCUUUUAUAUAGUACUUCCACAAGCUAACAACAUAACAAUCUAAUCUUUGUUCCACAUACUAUGAAGCAUAACUAUUUUAUGUACUAUCAUAAUUUGACCAGUACAAACUUAAUUCAAUACUAUGUACUAUGUGCUCUUGUACCAAUAACUUUCAUCUUUAGCACUUUUGAUACCAAUAAAUAUUUAUAUAUAAUGUAAUCUUUGUUCCGCAUAUUAUGAAGCAUAGCUGUACAUUUUUGCUCCCCAAAUAAGACCGAAUGCAUUCAUUAUGUUGUUGUAAUAGGAGAUAACUCCUAUGACUAGUCUCUGGAGGUUUUCAUUGAAUUGUUUACUAGUUCAGGUUCGAUGUGGAAUUGAUGAUAUAUAGGGGAAUAAUUUACAUGACUUGCUAUUUAUGCACCGACAUAAUUAAAGGUCAUACUUAUAAUGUGUUUUUUUAUUAGGUGACACCAUAUGACAAAAUUAAAGGUCAUACUUAUAAUGUGUUUUUUUAUUAGGUGACACCAUAUGAGUGAAUUAGUAAUCCACGUCAGAGCAAGUGAGGUACACACAUGUAAUUGCAAAAUCGGAGUGUCUUUUUGUUCAGGUUUUG
rnacentral:lncRNA from 1 species